rnacentral:lncRNA from 1 species
CUUCUACUUGCAAUGGAAAAAGGAACUCUUGCAAAAUUCCAGGGAAUGUCUCUUGACGAGAUUGAGGUUGAAGGUAAGUGGUGGUAUCAACACUCUUAAUGUGAGGUGUACAAACUUGAAACAACAAUGAUUUUUAUUUUUGCAUCAAUCGUGCUUUUCUUUAGCUGAAUUGGACCCAGAGCUGGAAGAUCGAGAUGAUGAAGGCGAUGGAGACGACGAAGGCGACGACGACGGAGGCUGCGAAGGUGACGACGGAGGCUGCGAAGGUGACGACGGAGGCUGCGAAGGUGACGACGGAGGCUGCGAAGGUGACGACGGAGGCUGCGAAGGUGACGACGGAGGCUGCGGAGGUGACGACGGAGGCUGCGGAGGUGACGACGGAGGCGGCGGAGGCUGCGAAGUUGACGACGGAGGUGACGACGGAGGUGAUGACAGAGGCGGCGGAGGCGACGACGGAGAAAAUCAAGAAAUGAAGAUGCCUGAAGAGCCCACCAGCUCCUCAGGGAAAAGAAAAAGUAUGGAAUUGACCCAGGGUGAGGCCAAGAGUUACAAAGGUAAGGUUUUUGUUUUUGUCUUAAAUGGUAGUAAUGGUCUGGGUGUUCCAGAAAUCAGGUUUAGUGAACACACUGAAUUUGUAAGUAAAUGUACAGUUCUUAGAGAUAUACAUUUUGAUAUUGUGUCAUUAUAAAGUUCAUAUUUACAACAAUUGUUACGGCACACUGACUAGC